rnacentral:rRNA from 1 species
UACAGAGGGUGCAAGCGUUGUUCGGAAUUAUUGGGCGUAAAGCGCGUGUAGGCGGCCUUGCAAGUCGGGUGUGAAAGCCCUCAGCUUAACUGAGGAAGUGCGCCCGAAACUGCAGUGCUUGAGUACCGGAGAGGAUGGCGGAAUUCCCCAAGUAGAGGUGAAAUUCGUAGAUAUGGGGAGGAACACCGGUGGCGAAGGCGGCCAUCUGGACGGUCACUGACGCUGAGACGCGAAAGCGUGGGUAGCAAACAGG